UGAGGAAUAUUGAGCAAUGGGCGAAAGCCUGACUCAGCAACGCCGCGUGGGCGACGAAGGCCUUCGGGUUGUAAAGCCCUUUUCUGGGGGACGAGCAAGGACGGUACCCCAGGAAUAAGUCACGGCUAACUACGUGCCAGCAGCCGCGGUAAUACGUAGGUGGCCAGCGUUAUCCGGAUUUACUGGGCGUAAAGCGCGUGUAGGUGGUUUCGUAAGUCGGACGUGAAAGCUCCUGGCUUAACUGGGAGAGGCCGUUCGAUACUGCGGGGCUUGAGGUCGGGAGAGGGACGUGGAAUUCCCGGUGUAGUGGUGGAAUGCGUAGAUAUCGGGAGGAACACCAGUGGCGAAGGCGGCGUCCUGGCCCGCACCUGACACUCAGACGCGAAAGCGUGGGGAGCGAACGGG
rnacentral:rRNA from 1 species